AGAGUUUGAUCCUGGCUCAGAUUGAACGCUGGCGGCAUGCCUAACACAUGCAAGGUCGAACGGGGGCAGCGAUGCCCUAGUGGCGGACGGGUGAGGAACACGUAGGAAUCGGCCCACGAGUGGGGGACAACCUGGGGAAACUCAGGCUAAUACCGCAUACGCUCGCGAGAGGAAAGCGAGGGACCUACGGGCCUCGCGCUGGUGGACGAGCCUACGUCCGAUUAGCUAGUUGGUGGGGUAAACGCCUACCAAGGCGACGAUCGGUAGCGGGUCUGAGAGGACGACCCGCCACACUGGGACUGAGACACGGCCCAGACUCCUACGGGAGGCAGCAGUGGGGAAUAUUGGACAAUGGGCGCAAGCCUGAUCCAGCAAUGCCGCGUGGGUGAAGACGGCCUGCGGGUUGUAAAGCCCUUUAGGCGGGGAGGAACGGUCGGGUGCCAAAACCACCCGGCGCUGACGUUACCCGCAGAAUAAGCACCGGCUAACUCCGUG
rnacentral:rRNA from 1 species